ACCAAAUCAGCUAUUUGGUACAUUCUUAAAAAGAUAAGAAUGCACUGGUGAGAUAAGGAACACCAAUUGACCUGGAAGACCAUGGCAAAUGACUGUGGUGAAUGACCGAAAAUGUCUUUCCCUGGUGAAGAAGAAUCCCUUCAUUACCGCUGGCCAGAUCAAGAACACCCUCCAGGAGGUAGGCAUAUCUGUAUCAAAGUCAAAAAUCAAGAGAAGACUUCACCAGAGUAAAUACAGACUGUUUACCACAAGAUAGAAACCACUGGUAAGCCUCAAAACUAGGAAGACCAGAUUAGAGCUUGUCAAAAAAAAACAUUUACAAAGCCUGUACAGUUCUGGAACAACAUUCUAUGGACAACCGAGACAGAUAUUAACUUGUACCGGAAUGAUUAAGCAUUACGUACACGUAUGGGCUGCCAAUGGAACUGGUUUCCUUCCACUUAUCGAUGAUGAUGAAUUCUGAACUGCAUAAGACUAUAUUAUCUGCUCAGAUUCAGCCAAAUGCUUCACAGUCGCUUCACAGUCCAGACGGACAAUGACCUCAAGCAUACUUCGAAAGCAGCCCACAGAUUGUUUAAGGCAAAGAAGUGGAAUGUUCUGCAAUGUCCAAGUCAAUCACCUGACCUGAAUCCAAUUGAACAUAGAUUUCAUUGCUGAAGGCUAGACUGAAGGCAAAACUCCCCAAGAAGCAGCAGGAACUGAAGACAGCUGCAGAGCAUCACCAGGGAAGAAAAAGCCCGGAGAAUACAGGUGAGGUAGACAAAGAAGUAUACACAUAUAUGAGAAGACUUGACCACCAAACGCCAACAAAUGAGAACAAGAGAACAAGAAAACGAGGAGUCGGAAAAGAGUUGACAGUAAACAAGUUGCCAUUUCAGCCUGGUUGCGAAUAUGACGAAGGAAAGCUCAACAAUCCCACAUUUCUCUCUACAUAUUUUGUUAAGAUCUGAAUCGUUUGGAUUUCGCACCUCAGUGAUCUGCAUGUGUGUUGAGCUCUUUGAAUGUUGUUCACAUCGCUGGCCAGUGAGCGAGAGCUGGACUGUUUGCCAUUUGAAUAAUCAAUAUGACAGCCUUCUUGUUGCCAUUUUGAUUCUGAGUUGCUUCUGUACAGAGGUGUGUGUGUGUGUGUGUGGUGUGUGUGUGCACGUAGUCAUGGCCCUGUUUAACCUUAACUAGAUUAGGGUGAUUAUCCGGGCUCUCAGCCGCCACUGUACAGACGGGAUAAGUGUUCACAAAGCCCCCUCUGUGCAGCGAUCGGCCAAUCUGUGAUUCUUAUUCAUAUCUAAGCCAGCCGGCGCUCUCCUUUCUCCCUCUAACCGCCAUGCUAAGUGACAGAAAGUCCCUCUUUCUCUCAAGCCGAGGAGGAAGAAAGGAGAAAAUUAAUCCAAUAUGGCCUCGAGCGUUCUGUGGUGCUGUGUGGUUUCUUGUCCUGGGGCUUGCUCGGAGAAAGUGCACUUGUGUAUAUGUGUGUGUGUGUGUGUGUGUUUCAAGAAAAGCAAACUCGGAGAAAAUUCAAACAAGCACAGUCCAACAAAUAAAGCAAAAGACGAUCGUUUGAGGAAAAAAAAGCUCUUCGUUAGACACUUUUACAAGCCAGCGUCUGCAUCCGCUCCUGUUACAUUCUCAGAAAGGAAGAAAUACGACGCACUCUAAACAGUAGCACAAUGGGGAAAAUCAUGCCGUUAUGGGUCAAGAGCUUCAGUUAAUGUUCACACCGAACGUCAGAACGAGGAAAAAUUGUGAUCUCGGUGACUUCGUGACACGGCUGUUGCUGCCAGACAGGCUGGUUUGACUAUUUGAGAAACGGCUUACGUCCUGAGAUUUACACAGAAGACAGUCUGUAACGUUUAGGCAAAAUGAUGUCGAAAAGCAUCCAGCAGCUCUGGUGGCAGAAACGCCUCCGAGAGAGGUUGGACACGAAUGACCAGACAGGUUUGAGUUGACAGGAAGGCUACGGUAACUCAAAAGACCGCUUUUUACAACCGUGGUGAACAGAAAAGCAUCUCGGAACGCACCUCGAGCCUUGAGGUGGAUGUGCUGUAAGGGCAGAAAAUCUCGAGGAGAUCAGAUAGUAAUGAGGGAAAGUGGGCGGGGCUUUCAGGGUCUCAGUUAAUAUCUGAGUUCAAAACACCUCUACAACUGUCAAUCAUUCCACACUCACUCCCACCUGGUGAUUUGUUCAUCUACCUUUUUUAUUGAGGGGGAAAAAAAUUGAAGACUUUUUUAUUUUACGUAUUUUUUAAAUUGAUAACUCGUAGCAGCUCACUCUGAUCCAUUCAACUUUAGCACUAUUCUUCAUCGAUACACCGUCUUCUCUUCACUUUACGCAAACUGCAUUACACAUUUUGCAGAAAAACCACAUCGAAGGAAAAAACUCUGUGAAAGUGCUCCAUGCUCGUGUACACAGCUAGACGAUCAGGCAACUCCAUCCAACUGCAAUCCUGUUCUAAUAACAUAAUACCCCUCUGUGUAAUAUUUAAUGGCUUUUCAGCAUCGUAACAAGCCGUGGCAGGUCUGCCUGUGUCGAUUUGACACAAACGCCGGCGCGUCCUCUGGCACGUCGCCUCACUGGGGUUACCAACUCGUGUGUGUUGAUACCACACAGUCGUUGUUCCUAAUUUCAUCAGCUCAGCACUAAUUACAUCCCUAGAACAAGGUAAUUAUCCUGGACGGCGUGUUACGAACGACCACACGCACUUCAAUGUUUGUUGGGUUUCCUAAAUUUAGUAUAAAAAAAAUUUAAAAAACAGCUUGCAACAGCUGUGCAAGUCGUACAUUUAUUUCUGUCAAAAUAAUAAACCUGGCACGAACACUUCCUCGAGUUGUGAAUGUAGCACUAAUCAAGCUUUACUAUUUCAAAGCUGCUAUUGUUGUAUCGGAUGUCAACAAUCUGUCUAUGUAUGCGGAAAGUAUAUACUGUCCAACCACAAGCAGAAGGGAUCACAGUGCUGUAUGGGUUUUUUUGUUUCGUUUUUAGAGCGAGAGCUGAUUAGAAACCCCAAAAUAAUAGCAUUCACUGAAUACACGGGCACAGCUUCAGCCCUUUCAUCUUAUACAACUCCGUGACAACGGCAGACAGAUAAAGACUGAUGAGGAAAAAAUUCGAACGGCGAUGAAAAACCGGUAUGAAAAUAUGAACAAAACAAUCCGCAGGUUUGUAUGCGUAUUACUGAGUGACAAACUGCAUAAUUUAAUGAGCCACGAGGAAGGAUUUUAUUCCAGUAGUGGCCCUUCGCAAAUUAGUUAUAAACAGGAAAUGGGGCUCGCUACACAAGAUUUUGCCAAACCAGGACAAAUAUCUUAAACGAGGGAAGGCUAGCUUGUCCGGUCUGAUCAGACAGAAGAGCUACUGCUGGCUAUGAAAGAAAGGUGUCGGAUCACACAAUGCAUGGGGCUGCGUAUAUGCAGACGGGUCAGAGUGCCCAUGCUGACCCCUGUCCACCGCCGAAAGUGCCUACAAUGGGCACAUGAGCAUCAGAACUGGACCAUGGAGCAAUAGAAAAUGGUGGCCAAGUCUGAUGAAAAUAAUAAAAGUUUUUAAUAUCAUGUGGACGGCCGGGUGCGUGUGUGUCGCUUACGUGGGGAAGAGAUGGCACCAGGAUGCACUAUGGGAAGAAGACAAGCCAGCAGAGGCAGUGUGAUGUUCUGCUGGGAAACCUUAGGUCCUGGCAUUUAAUGUGGAUGCUACUUUGAUACGUACCACCUGCCUAAACGUUGCAGACCAAGUACACCCCUUCAUAGCAACGGUAUUCCCUGGCCUCUUUCAGCGGGAUAAUGCGUCCUGCCACACUGUAAAAAUUGUUCAGGAACGCUUUGAGGAACAUGACAGUAUUCAAGGUGUUGACUCGGCCUCCAAAUUCCCCACAUCUCAAUCCGAUCGAGCGUCUCUGGGAUGUUCUGGACAAACAAGUCCGAUCCAUGGAGGCUCCACCUCGCACCUUACAGGACUUAAAGGAUCUGCUGCUAACGUCUUGGUGCCAGAAACCACAGCACACCUUCAGAGGUCGUAUGGAGUCCAUGCCUCAAUGGGUCAGAGCUGUUUUGGUGGCUCAAUGCAUGUAUGGAAAAUAAAGCUUGGAAGGAAGUACUACAGAUCUUUGGUGUCUCAGGAGAUGGUUGGAACUGAAUGUGUGUUUAACUAACGGCAGUAAGCAGUGUUAGCCUGCACUGCUAGUUUGCUAACAAAACUAAUCGGAAGCCAUUAGCAUUUUCAAUCCGUUUUAAACAGCUGUAAAUAAAGUACUGUAGUAAAUCCUGUGCUGUAAACUUUAUAUUCCAGCUACAACCCUUUUUCACCGGUGGACGAUUGUACAUGCCCAGGAGCGACAAGAGUAGCGUUCAAUACACCACGACAGUAAAAGACAGACUACAAGCGGCACCGGCGACUUUCGAGUCGCUCGCUAGUGUGAACGCACUGUAAUGAAAAAAAGACAACAGAAUGUUUACAGGAUUUAUGAAAUACACAGAUGACGGACCGAUAAAGAAAAGUCAUCAAAACUUAUCGCCUCCUGACACGAUGCGAAAAAGUUAGCUUCUGGUUUUGUUCAUAAAUUAGCCCGGGAAAAUCCUCGUUACUCUUAUAAUUUCUACAAACUGCUACAGAUCACUACGAGAGGCUUUUAAUGGCCAUCAAGGAGAAAAACAAGCGUGGCUGCUGAAAGGAGGACUAAUGAAACAUUUCCUCCAUUUUUAAUUGAUUCAGUCGAUCUUCAUACACUAAAAAGCAGCCAUAAAACGACAAACGCCGCACCGUGCGAGUGUGUAUUUGUGGACGAGCACAUUUCCAUAAUGCUUGUAAAUCCAGACAGAGGCCUGUCAUGUUAGGAUCUCAUAAGCGGCUCCUCUGGAUCAUUUUCCGCCCCCAAAUCACUCUCUCAUUCCCUCUGCCCUCUCUCUUUCCACCAUAAAGCAGCCAGGCCUGAGAAAUUACCAUCGGCCACAACUCUACCUCCACGUGUAGGAUAAUGAAACAGUCGUAAAGUGGGUUGUGUGGAAGUUGGAUGUUGAUUAUGUUGUGUCAGGGAGGAAGGGGAAGGAUGUACCUGCAAAGCUAAACAGUACGGUUCAACCCAGCCCAGAUCUAAUUGGAUUGGGGGAGAUUUUUUAUUUGGCUUUGCCACAGCUCUGUCAUCAUGUUCCAGGCCUGGCUGUGUCUAUAAAAGAGUGUGUGUGUGUGUGUGUGUGUGUGUGUGUGUGUGUGUGUGGUCAGGUUCGCAAUCUAAUAAACCUACAUUUGAGACUGCAAAAGAAGAAUUGUUCAUAUGAUUAUUAACAUGUUUACCAUUUUAUGAAGUCGGCGAUGGGGAGUGUUCUGUCCUACUGACAGAGCCUCUGUGUGUGUGUGUGUGUGUGUGUGUGUGUGUGUGUGUGUGUGUGUGUGUGUUCCUAAUGGCUAAACAGAUUACAGACCACGGUAAAUGGAUUGUCACAGCUCUCUAUCAACCACUCAGAGUGUCUCUUCUGCGAUUAGCACUGGCCAGACUUGAACCAUAAACACACACACGCACGCACGCACAUAAAGAGGCCAGGAUUACAGAGACAUGGCCAUGUUAGGCACCCAAACACUGUUUAUCAAAAGGACUCGUCAGUAAUCUGACUUUUACACCUCUGUCACAGAUAUGAGGCCAGGAUGAGAAGAAGGGACCUUACAAACUAUACUAUACAUCUAUGUAAGCCAUAUAACACAAAGGGGCAUGCUGUUAUAGGAAAAUAAUCAAUGAGGUGUUAUUCGUUUAUAGUGGAAUGUCUGUGAAACAAGUCCUGCUACCACUUAUGUUAGAGCAGGUACAAACCACCUCAAUUUUUCUUUCCUUCCCUUAAAUUGAGUCAAAAGUCAAAAAACGCAGCAUGUCCUGCACCCGAGACACCUGGAAGUGCGACAGCCCCCAUCCCCUGGAGGCAAACUCACCGA
ensembl:lncRNA